rnacentral:tRNA from 1 species
ACAUUGGUGGUUCAGUGGUAAAAUUCUUGCCUUCUAUGCGGGAGACCCAGGUUUGAUUCCCAGCCAAUGCA